AACUGGAAUACAGGAAGUGAUGCAAUGCUAGAGAGGAAUAUAAACCUGAAUGGAGCUUUCAGAGCUCAUUCAGAGUGAGGACAGCAUUGAGGACAGCAGCAGAUUACAGCUACCAACACCCCUGAGGAAGUCUGUUUAGACGAAACGCGUUGGGUGAUAAACAUUGUGGGCGGACUGGCUGUCAUAUGAGCUCCUCCCUGGCUGGGGUGGACAGCAAGUCCAUUUAAGAUCAUACCCCGCGAUUGUUAAGAUAUAUAUGUACCCCUGAUGAAGUCUUUUGUAUAAGAUGAAACGCGUUGGCUAUUUGUAUUGUGAUGUUAUCUCCGAACCAACUAUAAGGAGAAGGAGGAGACUGUUGUCAAUCACCUACAAUUGUAUUCAACGCUAAGAGUCAUACUGCUUAAAGUGUGGAAUAACACAUCUCCUCUGUAUCAAUAUUGAUUUUGAAGUUAUUAUGUAUUUUAAUAAAUUCUAUAUGUUGGAACAUGUUAUUACUUUGUUUUAAACAUCAUUAACCAUUCAUGGGUUAAAAAAAUGGGUGUUGAUAUGACCCCCUGGCGCCGAAUCUCCUAUUGUUUGUAUGUAUAUAUAUAUAUAUGUAUAUAUAUAUCAUACUGUAUGUAUGCAUAUAUACAGGUCUUAGUACAACACCUGUAAGGUGUAUACAUUGUAAAUAAUAAAUAAGAAACAAAUAACAAAAG